AUUGAACGCUGGCGGCAUGCCUUACACAUGCAAGUCGAACGGCAGCACGGGUGCUUGCACCUGGUGGCGAGUGGCGAACGGGUGAGUAAUACAUCGGAACAUGUCCUGUAGUGGGGGAUAGCCCGGCGAAAGCCGGAUUAAUACCGCAUACGAUCUACGGAUGAAAGCGGGGGACCUUCGGGCCUCGCGCUAUAGGGUUGGCCGAUGGCUGAUUAGCUAGUUGGUGGGGUAAAGGCCUACCAAGGCGACGAUCAGUAGCUGGUCUGAGAGGACGACAAGCCACACUGGGACUGAGACACGGCCCAGACUCCUACGGGAGGCAGCAGUGGGGAAUUUUGGACAAUGGGCGAAAGCCUGAUCCAGCAAUGCCGCGUGUGUGAAGAAGGCCUUCGGGUUGUAAAGCACUUUUGUCCGGAAAGAAAUCCUUGGCCCUAAUACGGUCGGGGGAUGACGGUACCGGAAGAAUAAGCACCGGCUAACUACGUG
rnacentral:rRNA from 1 species